rnacentral:rRNA from 1 species
AGCAGUGGGGAAUUUUGGACAAUGGGGGCAACCCUGAUCCAGCCAUGCCGCGUGAGUGAAGAAGGCCUUCGGGUUGUAAGCUCUUUCGGCCGGGACGAAAUCGCACGGGCUAAUAUCCUGUGUGGAUGACGGUACCGGAAUAAGAAGCACCGGCUAACUACGUGCCAGCAGCCGCGGUAAUACGUAGGGUGCGAGCGUUAAUCGGAAUUACUGGGCGUAAAGCGUGCGCAGGCGGUUUGAUAAGACAGGCGUGAAAUCCCCGGGCUUAACCUGGGAACUGCGCUUGUGACUGUCUCACUAGAGUACGGCAGAGGGGGGUGGAAUUCCACGUGUAGCAGUGAAAUGCGUAGAGAUGUGGAGGAACACCGAUGGCGAAGGCAGCCCCCUGGGCCGAUACUGACGCUCAUGCACGAAAGCGUGGGGAGCAAACAGGAUUAGAUACCCUGGUAGUCCACGCCCUAAACGAUGUCAACUAGGUGUUGGGUGGGUAAAAACCAUUUAGUACCGGAGCUAACGCGUGAAGUUGACCGCC